GGGAGAGAAGAAGUUUAUAUGGAGUUUUGAAGGAUCGGAAAGCUAGCUUCAUGCUUCAGGAAGGAGAAAAAAAAUAGAGAAUUGGAUUUUUUUUCUUCAUAGGGUUUUGGGAAGACUGAGGCAAUCGUUGCUGAAGUCAGUGUUGUAAUGGUGAAUCGGGAUUUUUAAUGAACUGGAUUUGAUUACUCUUGACUGUUUUGUGAAAUCGAGUUACGUUUGUGAUUGAAGAAUUAAAAGGGUGUCUAUAGGAUUGAGUAUGCGGAGUGAAUGAAAUUUAUUGGAUUAAUCUAACAAGACAGUCAGUGGAUACAAGAUCGUGAAUAUAAAGCGGUAUCGGAGAUUAGCAGAUUGGGUUG
rnacentral:lncRNA from 1 species